rnacentral:pre_miRNA from 1 species
UUACUACUUCCUCCGCCCCAAAAUUCUUGUUUUAAAUUUGUUUAGAUAUGAAUGUAUCUAGUCAUGUUUUAGUAUUUAGAUACAUUCAUUUUUAGACAAACUUAAGACAAGAAUUUUGGGACGGAGGGAGUACUUC